UGGGGAAUAUUGCACAAUGGGCGCAAGCCUGAUGCAGCCAUGCCGCGUGUAUGAAGAAGGCCUUCGGGUUGUAAAGUACUUUCAGUCGGGAGGAAGGUGGUAAGGUUAAUAACCUUAUCAAUUGACGUUACCGACAGAAGAAGCACCGGCUAACUCCGUGCCAGCAGCCGCGGUAAUACGGAGGGUGCAAGCGUUAAUCGGAAUUACUGGGCGUAAAGCGCACGCAGGCGGUUGAUUGAGUCAGAUGUGAAAUCCCCGGGCUUAACCCGGGAAUUGCAUCUGAUACUGGUCAGCUAGAGUCUUGUAGAGGGGGGUAGAAUUCCAUGUGUAGCGGUGAAAUGCGUAGAGAUGUGGAGGAAUACCGGUGGCGUAGGCGGCCCCCUGGACAAAGACUGACGCUCAGGUGCGAAAGCGUGGGGAGCAAACAGG
rnacentral:rRNA from 1 species